GAAAUGCGAUAAGUAAUGUGAAUUGCAAAAUUCCGUGAAUCACCGAAUCUUUGAACGCACAUUGCGCCCUCUGGCAUUCCGGGGGGCAUGCCUGUCCGAGCGUCAUUACGCACCCUCAAGCCCGGCUUGUGUGAUGGGCCCCGGCGUCUCGUUCGCGAGACGGGCCCGAAAGGCAGCGGCGGCGUCGACCCAAUGAGCCCGAGCGUAUGGGGACUUCUGUCACACGUUCGCGGUGCGGACCGGCGCCUGCUUGACUUUUCUGAUUAUCCAGGUUGACCUCGGAUCAGGUAGGGAUACCCGCUGAACUUAAGC
rnacentral:misc_RNA from 1 species